UUGGAGGGCAAGUCUGGUGCCAGCAGCCGCGGUAAUUCCAGCUCCAAUAGCGUAUAUUAAAGUUGUUGCAGUUAAAAAGCUCGUAGUUGAACUUCGGGAUCAAUGAGUUGGUCGUGCCCUUGGUAUGAACUGGCUUUAUUGGUUCUCACCUUCUAAUGAACCAUAAUGUCAUUCAUUUGAUGUUUUGGGGAAUUAGGACUGUUACCUUGAAAAAAUUAGAGUGUUUAAAGCAGGCUCACGCUUGAAUACAUUAGCAUGGAAUAAUGAAAUAGGACAUCGCAUUCUAUUUUGUUGGUUUCUAGGAUCGAUGUAAUGAUUAAUAGGGAUAGUUGGGGGCAUUAGUAUUCAAUUGUCAGAGGUGAAAUUCUUGGAUUUAUUGAAGACUAACUACUGCGAAAGCAUUUGCCAAGGAUGUUUUCAUUAAUCAAGAACGAAAGUUAGGGGAUCGAAGACCAUCAGAUACCGUCGUAGUCUUAACCAUAAACUAUGCCGACUAGGGAUCGGAUGAUGUUGAUUUUUUAAUGACUCAUUCGGCGCCUUACGG
rnacentral:rRNA from 1 species